rnacentral:rRNA from 1 species
AGAGUUUGAUCAUGGCUCAGAUUGAACGCUGGCGGCAGGCCUAACACAUGCAAGUCGAGCGGUAGCACAGAGAGCUUGCUCUUGGGUGACGAGCGGCGGACGGGUGAGUAAUGUCUGGGAAACUGCCUGAUGGAGGGGGAUAACUACUGGAAACGGUAGCUAAUACCGCAUAACGUCGCAAGACCAAAGUGGGGGACCUUCGGGCCUCAUGCCAUCAGAUGUGCCCAGAUGGGAUUAGCUAGUAGGUGGGGUAACGGCUCACCUAGGCGACGAUCCCUAGCUGGUCUGAGAGGAUGACCAGCCACACUGGAACUGAGACACGGUCCAGACUCCUACGGGAGGCAGCAGUGGGGAAUAUUGCACAAUGGGCGCAAGCCUGAUGCAGCCAUGCCGCGUGUGUGAAGAAGGCCUUCGGGUUGUAAAGCACUUUCAGCGGGGAGGAAGGCGUUAAGGUUAAUAACCUUGGCGAUUGACGUUACCCGCAGAAGAAGCACCGGCUAACUCCGUGCCAGCAGCCGCGGUAAUACGGAGGGUGCAAGCGUUAAUCGGAAUUACUGGGCGUAAAGCGCACGCAGGCGGUCUGUCAAGUCGGAUGUGAAAUCCCCGGGCUCAACCUGGGAACUGCAUUCGAAACUGGCAGGCUAGAGUCUUGUAGAGGGGGGUAGAAUUCCAGGUGUAGCGGUGAAAUGCGUAGAGAUCUGGAGGAAUACCGGUGGCGAAGGCGGCCCCCUGGACAAAGACUGACGCUCAGGUGCGAAAGCGUGGGGAGCAAACAGGAUUAGAUACCCUGGUAGUCCACGCCGUAAACGAUGUCGAUUUGGAGGUUGUGCCCUUGAGGCGUGGCUUCCGGAGCUAACGCGUUAAAUCGACCGCCUGGGGAGUACGGCCGCAAGGUUAAAACUCAAAUGAAUUGACGGGGGCCCGCACAAGCGGUGGAGCAUGUGGUUUAAUUCGAUGCAACGCGAAGAACCUUACCUGGUCUUGACAUCCACAGAACUUAGCAGAGAUGCUUUGGUGCCUUCGGGAACUGUGAGACAGGUGCUGCAUGGCUGUCGUCAGCUCGUGUUGUGAAAUGUUGGGUUAAGUCCCGCAACGAGCGCAACCCUUAUCCUUUGUUGCCAGCGGUNNNNNNNNNNNNNNNGGCCGGGAACUCAAAGGAGACUGCCAGUGAUAAACUGGAGGAAGGUGGGGAUGACGUCAAGUCAUCAUGGCCCUUACGACCAGGGCUACACACGUGCUACAAUGGCAUAUACAAAGAGAAGCGACCUCGCGAGAGCAAGCGGACCUCAUAAAGUAUGUCGUAGUCCGGAUUGGAGUCUGCAACUCGACUCCAUGAAGUCGGAAUCGCUAGUAAUCGUAGAUCAGAAUGCUACGGUGAAUACGUUCCCGGGCCUUGUACACACCGCCCGUCACACCAUGGGAGUGGGUUGCAAAAGAAGUAGGUAGCUUAACCUUCGGGAGGGCGCUUACCACUUUGUGAUUCAUGACUGGGGUGAAGUCGUAACAAGGUAACCGUAGGGGAACCUGCGGUUGGAUCACCU